rnacentral:rRNA from 1 species
GGACUACAAGGGUAUCUAAUCCCGUUCGCUCCCCCAGCUUUCGCGCCUCAGCGUCAAGAAUGCCCCAGGAGACCGCCUUCGCCACUGGUGUUCCUACCGAUAUCUACGCAUUUCACCGCUACACCGGUAAUUCCAUCUCCCCCUAGCACCUUCAAGACUGGCAGUAUCCACCGACCCUCCGGAGUUGAGCUCCGGGCUUUCACAGCGGACUUACCAACCCGCCUACGCGCGCUUUACGCCCAGUAACUUCGGACAACGCUAGCCCCCUCCGUAUUACCGCGGCUGCUGGCAC